CAGCCGCCAGUUUGGGAUUGGGCUGCCCCGCCCCCGAUAUCUCGGCUGGGCUGGUCCCUCAGGCCUCGGCCGCGGCUUUUCAGGUGCUGGAGACUCAGCGGAGCUGCAAGCGGACGGAUGUCUUCCCAGCACCCACCGCCCCCUUCCGCCCACCUCAGGCAUGCAGACAUGGGAGUCCCACUGUAUGUCGCAGACUGAGGCCCCAGCCCCACUGAGGGCAAAAGGCACAUCUUUGCUUUGGGCCUCUCCUAUUCUCCAAUAGGAUUUUCCAGCUGGAAUGGAAUUCACUAGGUCAUUCACAUCAUCUCCCUGCCCUGUGCCUAAAUCAUUCUAACUACUUGAGAAUGGAUGAUAUAUUGAGGGCAUUCUCAAGAAGAAGUCA
rnacentral:lncRNA from 1 species